rnacentral:rRNA from 1 species
AGACCCGAAACCCGGUGAUCUAGCCAUGGGCAGGUUGAAGGUUGGGUAACACUAACUGGAGGACCGAACCGACUAAUGUUGAAAAAUUAGCGGAUGACUUGUGGCUGGGGGUGAAAGGCCAAUCAAACCGGGAGAUAGCUGGUUCUCCCCGAAAGCUAUUUAGGUAGCGCCUCGUGAAUUCAUCUCCGGGGGUAGAGCACUGUUUCGGCAAGGGGGUCAUCCCGACUUACCAACCCGAUGCAAACUGCGAAUACCGGAGAAUGUUAUCACGGGAGACACACGGCGGGUGCUAACGUCCGUCGUGAAGAGGGAAACAACCCAGACCGCCAGCUAAGGUCCCAAAGUCAUGGUUAAGUGGGAAACGAUGUGGGAAGGCCCAGACAGCCAGGAUGUUGGCUUAGAAGCAGCCAUCAUUUAAAGAAAGCGUAAUAGCUCACUGGUCGAGUCGGCCUGCGCGGAAGAUGUAACGGGGCUAAACAAUGCACCGAAGCUGCGGCAGCGACACUGUGUGUUGUUGGGUAGGGGAGCGUUCUGUAAGCCUGUGAAGGUG